GUGCUCACUUCGGCAGCACAUAUACUAAAGUUGUAAUGAUACAGCAUGUAGUGAUUAGCAUGGUCCCUGCAUGAAGAUGACAUGAAAAUUUUGUGAAACGUUCCAUAUUAUU